rnacentral:rRNA from 1 species
UACGGUAGGGCGCAAGCGUUGUUCCGGAAUUAUUGGGCGUAAAGAGCUCGUAGGCGGUUUGUCGCGUCUGCCCGUGAAAGGUCCGGGGCUCAACUCCGGAUCUGCGGUGGGUACGGGCAGACUAGAGGUGAUGUAGGGGAGACUGGAAUUCCUGGAUGUAGCGGUGAAAUGCGCAGAUAUCUGGAGGAACACCGGUGGCGAAGGCGGCAUCCUGGACCGGCAUUGACGCUGAGAGCGAAAGCCAGGGGAGCAAGCGGGAUU